UCCCGAGCGUUNUCCGGAUUUAUUGGGCGUAAAGCGAGCGCAGGCGGUUAGAUAAGUCUGAAGUUAAAGGCUGUGGCUUAACCAUAGUAUGCUUUGGAAACUGUUUAACUNGAGUGCAGAAGGGGAGAGUGGAAUUCCAUGUGUAGCGGUGAAAUGCGUAGAUAUAUGGAGGAACACCGGUGGCGAAAGCGGCUCUCUGGUCUGUAACUGACGCUGAGGCUCGAAAGCGUGGGGAGCAAACAGGAUUAGAUACCCUGGUAGUCCACGCCGUAAACGAUGAGUGCUAGGUGUUAGGCCCUUUCCGGGGCUUAGUGCCGCAGCUAACGCAUUAAGCACUCCGCCUGGGGAGUACGACCGCAAGGUUGAAACUCAAAGGAAUUGACGGGGGCCCGCACAAGCGGUGGAGCAUGUGGUUUAAUUCGAAGCAACGCGAAGAACCUUACCAGGUCUUGACAUCCCUCUGACCGCUCUAGAGAUAGAGUUUUCCUUCGGGACAGAGGUGACAGGUGGUGCAUGGUUGUCGUCAGCUCGUGUCGUGAGAUGUUGGGUUAAGUCCUGCAACGAGCGCAACCCCUAUUGUUAGUUGCCAUCAUUGAGUUGGGCACUCUAGCGAGACUGCCGGUAAUAAACCGGAGGAAGGUGGGGAUGACGUCAAAUCAUCAUGCCCCUUAUGACCUGGGCUACACACGUGCUACAAUGGCUGGUACAACGAGUCGCAAGCCGGUGACGGCAAGCUAAUCUCUGAAAGCCAGUCUCAGUUCGGAUUGUAGGCUGCAACUCGCCUACAUGAAGUCGGAAUCGCUAGUAAUCGCGGAUCAGCACGCCGCGGUGAAUACGUUCCCGGGCCUUGUACACACCGCCCGUCACACCACGAGAGUUUGUAACACCCGAAGUCGGUGAGGUAACCGUAAGGAGCCAGCCGC
rnacentral:rRNA from 1 species